AACAGCUACGUGGCAGCAGGCGCGACAAUACGUGUGGGGACAGCGUUUAGCGGAAGUGCUGUGCGUAAAGGGGGUGCGGGGGGUCUGUACAGAGUGAUGGGAAAUCCCCGGGCUUAACGUGGGAACUGCAUUGGUGACUGGCAGGCUUGGAGUGUUGCAGAGGGAGGUAGAAUUCCACGUGUAGCAGUGAAAUGCGUAGAGAUGUGGAGGAAUACCGAUGGCGAAGGCAGCCUCCUGGGCCAACACUGACGCUCAUGCACGAAAGCGUGGGGAGCAAACAGGAUUAGAUACCCUGGUAGUC
rnacentral:rRNA from 1 species